GACGAACGCUGGCGGCGUGCUUAACACAUGCAAGUCGAACGGAAAGGCCCUGCUUUUGUGGGGUGCUCGAGUGGCGAACGGGUGAGUAACACGUGAGUAACCUGCCCUUGACUUUGGGAUAACUUAAGGAAACUGGGGCUAAUACCGGAUAGGAGCUCCUGCUGCAUGGUGGGGGUUGGAAAGUUUCGGCGGUUGGGGAUGGACUCGCGGGUUACCAGCUUGUUGGUGGGGUAGUGGCUUACCAAGGCUUUGACGGGUAGCCGGCCUGAGAGGGUGACCGGCCACAUUGGGACUGAGAUACGGCCCAGACGCCUACGUGAGGCAGCAGUGGGGAAUAUUGCACAAUGGGCGGAAGCCUGAUGCAGCAACGCCGCGUGCGGGAUGACGGCCUUCGGGUUGUAAACCGCUUUCGCCUGUGACGAAGCGUGAGUGACGGUAAUGGGUAAAGAAGCACCGGCUAACUACGUG
rnacentral:rRNA from 1 species